rnacentral:rRNA from 1 species
GAUGAACGCUGGCGGCGUGCCUAAUACAUGCAAGUCGAGCGAAUGAUGAGGAGCUUGCUCCUCUGAUUUAGCGGCGGACGGGUGAGUAACACGUGGGUAAUCUGCCUGUAAGACGGGGAUAACUCCGGGAAACCGGGGCUAAUACCGGAUAACAAGAGGAAAUGCAUAUUUCCUUUUUGAAAGUCGGUUUACGCUGACACUUACAGAUGAGCCCGCGGCGCAUUAGCUAGUUGGUGAGGUAAUGGCUCACCAAGGCGACGAUGCGUAGCCGACCUGAGAGGGUGAUCGGCCACACUGGGACUGAGACACGGCCCAGACUCCUGCGGGAGGCAGCAGUAGGGAAUCUUCGGCAAUGGGCGAAAGCCUGACCGAGCAACGCCGCGUGAGCGAUGAAGGCCUUCGGGUCGUAAAGCUCUGUUGUUAGGGAAGAACAAGUAUGAGAGUAACUGCUCGUACCUUGACGGUACCUAACCAGAAAGCCACGGCUAACUACGUGCCAGCCGCCGCAGUAACAC